rnacentral:rRNA from 1 species
CCUACGGGAGGCAGCAGUGAGGAAUAUUGGUCAAUGGGCGCGAGCCUGAACCAGCCAAGCAGCGUGAAGGAUGACUGCCCUACGGGUUGUAAACUUCUUUUAUAAAGGAAUAAAGUGAGGCACGUGUGCCUUUUUGUAUGUACCUUAUGAAUAAGGAUCGGCUAACUCCGUGCCAGCAGCCGCGGUAAUACGGAGGAUCCGAGCGUUAUCCGGAUUUAUUGGGUUUAAAGGGAGCGUAGAUGGGUUGUUAAGUCAGUUGUGAAAGUUUGCGGCUCAACCGUAAAAUUGCAAUUGAUACUGGCAGACUUGAGUACAGGUGAGGUAGGCGGAAUUCGUGGUGUAGCGGUGAAAUGCUUAGAUAUCACGAAGAACUCCGAUUGCGAAGGCAGCUUACUAGACUGCCACUGACACUGAGGCUCGAAAGUGUGGGUAUCAAACAGGAUUAGAUACCCUAGUAGUC